rnacentral:tRNA from 1 species
GCAUCUGUAGCCUAGUUGGUAAAGGCAGCACUCUAGUAUGUGUCUCAGCAUAGCUGAGGUCGUGAGUUCGACUCUCACCAGACACA